AAUGAACGCUGGCGGCAUGCCUAACACAUGCAAGUCGAACGAAGGCUUCGGCCUUAGUGGCGCACGGGUGCGUAACGCGUGGGAAUCUGCCCUUGGGUUCGGAAUAACAGUUAGAAAUGACUGCUAAUACCGGAUGAUGUCGUAAGACCAAAGAUUUAUCGCCCAAGGAUGAGCCCGCGUAGGAUUAGCUAGUUGGCGGGGUAAAGGCCCACCAAGGCGACGAUCCUUAGCUGGUCUGAGAGGAUGAUCAGCCACACUGGGACUGAGACACGGCCCAGACUCCUACGGGAGGCAGCAGUGGGGAAUAUUGGACAAUGGGCGAAAGCCUGAUCCAGCAAUGCCGCGUGAGUGAUGAAGGCCUUAGGGUUGUAAAGCUCUUUUACCCGGGAUGAUAAUGACAGUACCGGGAGAAUAAGCUCCGGCUAACUUCGUGCCAGCAGCCGCGGUAACAC
rnacentral:rRNA from 1 species